GGGCAGCGGGAUUGAAGCUUGCUUCAAUUGCCGGCGACCGGCGCACGGGUGAGUAACGCGUAUCCCACCUUCCGUACACUCAGGGAUAGCCUUUCGAAAGAAAGAUUAAUACCUGAUGGUAUGAUGAGAUUGCAUGAUAGCAUCAUUAAAGAUUUAUCGGUGUACGAUGGGGAUGCGUUCCAUUAGGUAGUAGGCGGGGUAACGGCCCACCUAGCCUACGAUGGAUAGGGGUUCUGAGAGGAAGGUCCCCCACAUUGGAACUGAGACACGGUCCAAACUCCUACGGGAGGCAGCAGUGAGGAAUAUUGGUCAAUGGACGAGAGUCUGAACCAGCCAAGUAGCGUGAAGGAUGAAGGUCCUACGGAUUGUAAACUUCUUUUAUAAGGGAAUAAAACCUCCCACGUGUGGGAGCUUGUAUGUACCUUAUGAAUAGGCAUCGGCUAACUCCGUGCCAGCAGCCGCGGUAAUACGGAGGAUGCGAGCGUUAUCCGGAUUUAUUGGGUUUAAAGGGAGCGCAGACGGGAUGUUAAGUCAGCUGUGAAAGUUUGCGGCUCAACCGUAAAAUUGCAGUUGAUACUGGCGUUCUUGAGUGCAGUUGAGGUGUGCGGAAUUCGUGGUGUAGCGGUGAAAUGCUUAGAUAUCACGAAGAACUCCGAUUG
rnacentral:rRNA from 1 species